GAUGAACGCUGGCGGCGUGCUUAACACAUGCAAGUCGAACGAAGCAUUCAGAACAAGCACUUCGGUGUAAGUUUUGUCUGACUGAGUGGCGGACGGGUGAGUAACGCGUGGGUAACCUGCCCGAUACCGGGGGAUAACAGCCAGAAAUGGCUGCUAAUACCGCAUAAGCGCACAGCAUCGCAUGAUGCCGUGUGAAAAACUCCGGUGGUAUCGGAUGGACCCGCGUCUGAUUAGCUUGUUGGUGAGGUAACGGCUCACCAAGGCGACGAUCAGUAGCCGGCCUGAGAGGGUGUACGGCCACAUUGGGACUGAGACACGGCCCAAACUCCUACGGGAGGCAGCAGUGGGGAAUAUUGCACAAUGGGGGAAACCCUGAUGCAGCGACGCCGCGUGAGUGAAGAAGUAUUUCGGUAUGUAAAGCUCUAUCAGCAGGGAAGAAAAUGACGGUACCUGACUAAGAAGCCCCGGCUAACUACGUGCCAGCCGCCGCCGUAACAC
rnacentral:rRNA from 1 species